rnacentral:ncRNA from 1 species
UAACAGUCUGAACUGAGCCUUUGCCAAACGAUUUAGUUCCUAAAAUAACAGCCCGUUCGUGAUCUUGUAGUGCACCGGCGACGAUUUCAGAAGCUGAUGCAGAGCCACCAUUAAUUAAAACUACCAAAGGCUUACUAUCAAUACUAUCUCCAGAUUGGGCAUUAUAUCGUUGAAUAUUUUGAUCAUUUCUGUUUCUUGUUGAUACAAUUUCGCCGCGAUCAAGGAACACAUUGGUUACAUCAAUAGCUUGGUCUAAUAACCCACCCGGAUUAUUUC